rnacentral:rRNA from 1 species
GACGGAGGGUGCGAGCGUUAUUCGGAAUCAUUGGGCGUAAAGAGUGUGUAGGCGGCCGGUUAAGUCAGGCGUGAAAGCCCAGGGCUCAACCCUGGAAGUGCGUUUGAAACUGGCUGGCUUGAGUUCGGGAGAGGGAAGCGGAAUUCCUGGUGUAGAGGUGAAAUUCGUAGAUAUCAGGAGGAACAUCGGUGGCGAAGGCGGGUUCCUGGACCGAAACUGACGCUGAGACACCAUAGCGUGGGGCGCGAACAGG